UUUAUUUUUAAGUUUAUACCUUACAAGUUGCAUAUAUGAUAUGAUAUGAUAUGAUGAUAUGACAUGAUAGGGGGAGGAGAGAAAAUUACAAUAAAAAAAGUACAGGAGAACAAAACCUUCUCUCCCCUUGGACAUUUCCGUAUAAUUUACAAAGCAAAUUCCUCAGGUCAGAGUCUCAUCCAUGGGGAUUUUCCACUUUCCCACUCCUGAGGAGCACAGAGGCAAUUGCACAUCAGUACACACUGACCCCCACAGAGAACAGAACUGUCAGAUAAGAUUGCUUUCAUUCCCCUCAAGCUCCCACAAAGGUACUCAGCGCACAGACCAGUGUUUGUAUUACACUGUGAAGGGAAAGAUUCCAGCCAAAAGAAGCUGGCAGCCAUGGCUUUUUAAUGAACCGUGUGCUGACAGGCCUGGUUGUGAGCUGUUACAGAUGUGCACUGGAUAGUCUAAUGAGAUGCAGGAAAUUCAAGAGGCAAAAAAACCUCUUCAGAUUUUCUGGUGAUGGUGGUAGGAUCAAAACCUCUUAUCUUUUAUCUGGCAUCGCCAAGCAAGGGGUUAUGCUUACUGUCCUUAAUAAAAACAUUACCAUUUGGGGUAGAGGCACUGGUGCAUGUUGAUUGCCAUAACAGGGAAUAAAAGAGGGGAUGAGUCACUAGCCAAGAAUGAAAACACAGGCAGGGCAGGAUCCUGCAGUGGCACAUUAAUUAUAGUAACAUUUUCUGUGAUUCCCCUGCUACGUAACCACAGAUGCCAGAGCACGAGUGGGGGCUGCAGUGAAAGGAGAUGGCCAGGAAGAAUGAUCUGGCAAGGAAGGGAAAACAAACCCUUAAUGAGGAAACAAAAACUCCAGAAAAAUUCUCCUUGCUGCAGAGUGGAGUUUCCAGCUGAUGCAUCUGGUGUGGAAGAGGCACCUUUUCUCAGUGCUUUAGCAGAGGAGUGCUCUGGUAUUUCUCUUAGAGCAUGAGUCAGAUGCAGGGGUUGCCAAAAAGCCAUGCCAAGUCCUGUUCUCAGUUACAUAUGCCCACAACAAUAUGGCACAUGAGCAGAUAGUAUCUCAGCACCAACUUGACAUUGAAGCAGCUGUGGGCUGCUCUGUGCAGUUCUGCGGCUUCUCCAUUUCACCUCUGUGCUCUCUCUGAAGUCUGAUUAGCAACUGGAUUGCAGAUGGUAUUACAAAUUGUCAAGCCUGCAAAUUCAACCAGAUCAAUGGUAAAGGUCUGUUUUUAGUGUUAUUUGACAGACAAAACUUAUUUAUAACUAUGUAACUGAUGAAGCACUAGACAGCAGAUGCCCCAGUUUACUUGCUCUUUUUUCAUAUGAACAGGCUUAGAUAUAAAAAAAAGCAUAGACAAGAAUCCAUGAAAUGAAACAGGACACAUAUACAGACCUUCUCCGUUUGCCAGAACUGUAAAGCUACAUAAGAUAUGCAACACUGACAUCUAUUGGUACGCAAACUGUGUACUGAUCCCUGUUUGUUUAUUCUGUGGCAAUAUUUUUAGCUGUGUUCGCAAUGCCUGAGGGUGUGUGCCGUGCUGUUGCGAUAGCACACUGCCAUCCUGGGGCACAGCUUUGUAAGCUGGCAGGGCUGCCCAGUAAAGAGCUUCUGGGAUAACUUGCCAUUAGGACACAGAAAUUUAGUCUCAACUAUGAAUGGCCUAUUCUCUUUGCACAAUAUGAACUGUGGCGACUCCAUGCUUCUGCAAUCCCUGCUCACAGUGUACCCCCUCUUUUUGGUGUGUAUUUUUCAGACACACCUGUGUAAACAUUUGUAGCAAAAAUAUUUUCCUGUGACGUUGCAUUGUGGGGGGAAACAGACUUUAAGAAUUUCUUCUCUCUUGAAAACCCAGUGGAUCCAAGGAUCAGAAAGUUAGAAGCAAACUGCUAGUAAAACUACUCCCUCUCUUUGGCUGUAAAGUCCUUGAGGCUCUGUGUAAGUCCAGCCCUAGGGAACUAUAGUGAUCUUCAACCUCCAGAUUUCCCAGCCCAUGAAGCAAUUGCCAAUUUAAGAAAGUUCUGGGUUAGUGUUUUUAGAUUACCUGAUUUGCCACACCCAUACGUUUAAAUGUGACAAAAUUUACACCACAGGAGUAACUUUUCUGAGGAAGAGUCACAGGGACUUUUGCAGUCAGCUCCUGUGCUCCAUCUAUUUGUCAAUAAGCCUAUGUGCUGAGAGGUUCACAGGUAUGUCAGCUGGGGAUAUCACUUGGCGUCCUAGCACAGUUUGCAUAAACAUACUCUGUAAAACAACAAUGUAGAGUGCUGUUGUGGUUUUAUUUGCUUCUAGAGGCAAAAUACAGAGUGGGAAGCCCAGGGUUUGACACAGUGCUCCUGACAUGCUCCCAGUUUCUGAAUAGAAAAUAAUCAUGUCCCUUCACCUGCUGACUGUACUCCUUCACCUUGUGCUGUUGCCUCUCUUUCCUGGAAGGGCACACUGCUCCUCAUGUCCACCAUGUUGUCCAGCAGGAUCCUCAGAUAUUAUAAAAUAAGGAAGACUGCUGACUCACUAGCGACAAGCUGAAAACUGGCAGUUAGACAGUCUCACUUAGGACAGUCAAAGCUCAAAGCCAUGGCCAAGAAACCUUACAAGUAUAAUAAAAAAUUAUAUGCAUAAAAAAUUUUUUUCUAUAUGACUGAAAUAUGUGCCUAUAUGUGUGUCUAAGCGUAUUUAAAUACAUAUACUCAGUGUAGAUAAGCCCAAAAUGUUUAUGUGAGUUCUUAAGCAAAACUAUAAUGACUGCUUCUUUUGAACGAAGCUACAUAUAGUCAUUAUUUCUAUUGCUGUUUUUCCUAUGCAAAUACUCUGUGCAAACGUUUCCAAAAUCAGUAUCCUAACUUCACCAGAACAUCUUACUUUAAUUCUCCUAUCAGCAAGAGUGAACGAGUUUUAUUGAUCAGUCUGUUAGAAAAAAAAGCCAAGUUAAGAUUAGUAUAAACCUAAAAAAAAUUUCCCCAAUACAUGUUGUACAUGAUCUGAAAAAGUCCUUUUCAUUUCCAUACUCAUUUCAUUUGGACUUCCUUUUUAAUAUGUCAUCUAAAUAUUGAUCUGUGGAAAACAAUUUCCAUAAAAGUACUAUAUAUAAAUGUCUAAUUUAAAUUGCAAGUUUCUCCAUUUUUUCUAAAGCAGCAAACAGCCAAAUCCUAUUACC